UCGUAAUGAAAAUUCAGACACAGAUUCGCC
rnacentral:sRNA from 1 species